rnacentral:rRNA from 1 species
GCAGUCGAACGGGCCUGAUUUCGGUCAGGCUAGUGGCGGACGGGUGAGUAACACGNGGGUGAUCUACCCCAAAGUCUGGGACAACUAGGGGAAACCUUAGCUAAUCCCGGAUGGUGAGGCUUCUCCUGUGAAGUCUCUAAAGAUUUAUCGCUUUGGGAUGAGCCCGCGGCGCAUCAGCUAGUUGGUGGGGUAAUGGCCUACCAAGGCGACGACGCGUAGCUGGUCUGAGAGGACGACCAGCCACAGGAGCACUGAGACACGGGCUCCACUCCUACGGGAGGCAGCAGUUAGGAAUCUUCGUCAAUGGGCGAAAGCCUGAACGAGCGACGCCGCUUGAGGGACGAAGCCCUUCGGGGUGUAAACCCCUGAACAGGGGACGAUGAUGACGGUACCCUGCUAAUAGCACCGGCUAACUCCGUGCCAGCAGCCGCGGUAAUACGGAGGGUGCGAGCGUUACCCGGAUUUACUGGGCGUAAAGGGCGUGUAGGCGGUUUUCUAAGUCCGGGGCUAAAGACCAGGGCUCAACCCUGGGUUUGCCUUGGAUACUGGAAAGCUCGACGGCUGGAGGGGGCAGCGGAAUUUCCGGAGUAGCGGUGAAAUGCGCAGAUACCGGAAGGAACGCCAAUAGCGAAGGCAGCUGCCUGGACAGUACGUGACGCUGANGCGCGAAAGCGUGGGGAGCAAACCGGAUUAGAUACCCGGGUAGUCCACGCCCUAAACGAUGAGUGCUGGGUGUCCGGCGUUUGCCGGGUGCCGAAGCUAACGCGUUAAGCACUCCGCCUGGGAAGUACGGUCGCNAGACUGAAACUCAAAGGAAUUGACGGGGGCCCGCACAAGCGGUGGANCAUGUGGUUUAAUUCGAANGAACGCGAANANCCUUACCA